rnacentral:misc_RNA from 1 species
CAAACAGAAAAGCCUUCGCUUAUUUUCAGCUCCUCAAUUUCCCAACUUAUCUAAAAAUCAUUCUAUUUGACCAAACCCCAAAAUGGGAAAUGUAUUGAGGUUCUAUUUGGACAUUGUUACAAGCCUACUACAACAGGGGACUCUGAAUCGUUGGGACCUCAUGGUGUGCCUACGGCCACCGUCGGAGUUUCAACUCUUGCCCAGGA